CAGAUGACCAACAGAGAUAAACAGAGGGCACUCCACUCUCGGUUGCAAUGUGCUUGGUGAUGUGAAGGAAUCAAUCAGACAAAAGCAGAUUAUUAGAGUGUCUGAGAGAGAUCAAACAUUGCUGGCAUCUUCACCCACACACGGUUGAUUUACAGAGUUGCCACAAAGGCAGGCAGAGCUUGCAGCUGGACAGUCUGUGCUGCUCAUCGUCCUGACUGCAGAUGGAAGAAGAG
rnacentral:lncRNA from 12 species